UAUUAAAAAUUUCAUUAAUUUUUACUGUUAAAAAUUAACGCGGCUAAUAAAAUAAUUAUAUAGUUACGCGUGGCGUGCCAUGUGUACUUCAUUUUAACGUAUAAGAUCAAUUUUUAACAAUAAAAAUAGAUACAAAUUUUAACA
rfam:Gossypium hirsutum cultivar TM-1 chromosome 14, whole genome shotgun sequence